rnacentral:lncRNA from 1 species
CCCCCACCCACAUACACAUGAAAAGCUGCCAAAUGUGAUUAUGAGAUAGAAGGGAAGGGGGCAGGGUACAACCUUUAAAAGAAUAACAGAGACAUUGAGGCUAUGAUAUAAACUGGUUAGAACCAAUUAGGCCCAAGCUGGCAGAAAAAUCCACUUCCAGUGGACCUUGAGCCUCAUUAUAUGCUCAUUGUAACACGCCAGCAUAUACUAAGUGACACACCCACAGGUGCCAAGACAGACCAUAAAAGGCCAAAAGUGGGCAGUGGCCCAAUUUGCUGGAAGUGUCCACCCCUUCUCUAAAAUAGGAGCUAGGCAGAGUAGACCAUGCUUGUAUACUGAUUAGAUUGGAGAAGAGAGAAAUAGAAGGAAUGAUUCAUGAAGCAGGAUGUCUAAGAAGAUGGAAAAAAAUGGGAUGGAUGCAAGGUGCCUGUCUUUUGAGAAUUGCCUGGGAACUCCAGAGCAGUCAAUGCAGCCACUUUCUGGAACAUUAUAUAACCAAAAAAAAGGUAAGACGAUAGCAGUGGGCCCCUUAUGCUCUUUCAUAAAAUUGGCACACACUACUUCCAUCCGCAUGCCUUGGCCAAAACAAGUCAUGUGAUUCACGCAACUUUUAGGGUCACAGGACAUGCAAUCCUACAAGGAGCCUAGAAAGUGGAGUGGGAACUAUUUAUCUCUAGUGAUGAUCUUAGAUCUCCAGCUUACAGCAACUAAUCCCUUAUCUUGCUUCAAAGUACUCUCGUCUUCAGAUUUUUAACCUGUAUGUCAUAUACGUAAGAAUUAAAGAUUUGUUAAUGAUAUUCAACAUUAUAAUAAUGUAAG